rnacentral:rRNA from 1 species
GUGCCAGCAGCCGCGGUAAUACGAAGGGGGCUAGCGUUGUUCGGAAUUACUGGGCGUAAAGCGCGCGCAGGCGGUCUUCCAAGUCAGUGGUGAAAGCCCGGAGCUUAACUCCGGAACUGCCAUUGAAACUUUUGGACUUGAGGAUGAGAGAGGUGAGUGGAAUUCCCAGUGUAGAGGUGAAAUUCGUAGAUAUUGGGAAGAACACCGGUGGCGAAGGCGGCUCACUGGCUCAUAUCUGACGCUCAGGCGCGACAGCGUGGGGAGCGAACAGGAUUAGAUACCCUAGUAGUCC